rnacentral:rRNA from 1 species
CACGUAGGAGGCAAACGUUAUCCGGAUUUAUUGGGCGUAAAGCGCGUGUAGGUGGUUUUUGUAAGUAGGGCGUGAAAGCUCCUGGCUCAACCCGGAGAGGCCGUUCUAUACUGCAGAGCUAGAGGAUGGUAGAGGGAGGUGGAAUUCCAGGUGUAGCGGUGGAAUGCGCAGAUAUCUGGAGGAACACCAGUGGCGAAGGCGGCCUCCUGGACCAUUCCUGACACUCAGACGCGAAAGCUAGGGUAGCAAACGGGAUUAGAUACCCGCGUAGUCCCU